rnacentral:rRNA from 1 species
GACGAACGCUGGCGGCGUGCCUAAUACAUGCAAGUAGAACGCUGAAGGAGGAGCUUGCUCUUCUGGAUGAGUUGCGAACGGGUGAGUAACGCGUAGGUAACCUGCCUGGUAGCGGGGGAUAACUAUUGGAAACGAUAGCUAAUACCGCAUAACAGUAGAUGUUGCAUGACAUUUACUUAAAAGGUGCAAUUGCAUCACUACCAGAUGGAUCUGCGUUGUAUUAGCUAGUUGGUGGGGUAACGGCUCACCAAGGCGACGAUACAUAGCCGACCUGAGAGGGUGAUCGGCCACACUGGGACUGAGACACGGCCCAGACUCCUACGGGAGGCAGCAGUAGGGAAUCUUCGGCAAUGGACGGAAGUCUGACCGAGCAACGCCGCGUGAGUGAAGAAGGUUUUCGGAUCGUAAAGCUCUGUUGUAAGAGAAGAACGAGUGUGAGAGUGGAAAGUUCACACUGUGACGGUAUCUUACCAGAAAGGGACGGCUAACUACGUG